AGGGUUCGAUUCUGGCUCAGGAUGAACGCUGGCGGCGUGCUUAACACAUGCAAGUCGAACGGGAUCCCAGGAGCUUGCUCCUGGGUGAGAGUGGCGAACGGGUGAGUAAUGCGUGACCGACCUGCCCCAUACACCGGAAUAGCUCCUGGAAACGGGUGGUAAUGCCGGAUGCUCCAGUUGGAUGCAUGUCCUUCUGGGAAAGAUUCUAUCGGUAUGGGAUGGGGUCGCGUCCUAUCAGCUUGAUGGCGGGGUAACGGCCCACCAUGGCUUCGACGGGUAGCCGGCCUGAGAGGGCGACCGGCCACAUUGGGACUGAGAUACGGCCCAGACUCCUACGGGAGGCAGCAGUGGGGAAUAUUGCACAAUGGGCGCAAGCCUGAUGCAGCGACGCCGCGUGCGGGAUGACGGCCUUCGGGUUGUAAACCGCUUUUGACUGGGAGCAAGCCCUUCGGGGUGAGUGUACCUUUCGAAUAAGCACCGGCUAACUACGUGCCAGCAGCCGCGGUAAUACGUAGGGUGCAAGCGUUAUCCGGAAUUAUUGGGUGUAAAGGGCGCGUAGGCGGUUCGUCGCGUCCGAUGUGAAAGUCCAUCGCUUAACGGUGGAUCCGCGCCGGGUACGGGCGGGCUUGAGUGCGGUAGGGGAGACUGGAAUUCCCGGUGUAACGGUGGAAUGUGUAGAUAUCGGGAAGAACACCAAUGGCGAAGGCAGGUCUCUGGGCCGUCACUGACGCUGAGGAGCGAAAGCGUGGGGAGCGAACAGGAUUAGAUACCCUGGUAGUCCACGCCGUAAACGGUGGAUGCUGGAUGUGGGGACCAUUCCACGGUCUCCGUGUCGGAGCCAACGCGUUAAGCAUCCCGCCUGGGGAGUACGGCCGCAAGGCUAAAACUCAAAGAAAUUGACGGGGGCCCGCACAAGCGGCGGAGCAUGCGGAUUAAUUCGAUGCAACGCGAAGAACCUUACCUGGGCUUGACAUGUUCCCGACAGCCCCAGAGAUGGGGCCUCCCUUCGGGGCGGGUUCACAGGUGGUGCAUGGUC
rnacentral:rRNA from 1 species